CUUCUGUACUUUUGUAUAUAUUAUUUUGUUAUUUAUUUAUUUAUCAUCAUAUCAUUGAAAGUGUGAGGUUGGUUUUUGCAAGUCUAUAUAUUGGUAAUGGGAAUGAUCUAAGGAUCAACUUAAAUAUAUUUCCCUGUCAAAAUAUAGUACUCAACCCUAAAAAUCUCAAAGCAUUUCUUCUCGAGCUACAAUGCCAAAUCCCGAGCAAUCUCUUUCUCUUCCCGGAUACUUGCAAGAAAACGAAACCUCCCAAGAAUUUAGAGACUUGAUAGUCUCCAUACCCACUGAGAAAGGCUGGAUUGCAAAUCAUCUCCAUCAAUACCAAGGUUUUUGGCACACAACUAGGCAACUUCAAGGGGUUCUAGCUUGCCAAAAACACUUUCAAGCCCAAGAUGGCGAUAUCUUUCUUGUGAGCACUCCUAAAUCAGGCUCUACUUGGUUAAAGGCGGUGAUGUUUUCCUUGGUGAAUCGGGUUUCCUUUCCUGACACUAAACAACACCCUUUGCUCACUAACAACCCUCAUGCUCUUGUGCCUUUCUUGGAGAUGGAAUACAUUGGCAAAGAGAAUCUUGACUUCACCAACUACACUUUUCCUAGGCUGUUUUCAACUCAUCUCCCACUCUCAUCACUUCCGAGAUCUGUGGAGGACUCUGAUUGCAAGCUUGUUUACUUGUGUAGGAAUCCUAAGGACACUUUCGUGUCCUUUUGGCACUUCAGUAACAAGUUGACACCCAUAGAUUGGGUUGCUACUUCACUUGAAGAGACCUUUGAUAAAUUCUGUAGGGGAGCGAGUUUGUAUGGGCCAUUUUGGGACCAUGUUUUGGGUUAUUGGAAGGAGAGCCUGGAAAGGCCUCAUAGGGUAUUUUUCAUGAAGUACGAGGAAAUGAAAAACGAGCCCAGGAUUCAAUUGAGGAGACUGUCUGAAUUCUUGGGGUGUCCAUUUUCCCUUGAAGAAGAGAAUAGCGGUGUCUUGGAUGAAAUCUUGGAUCUGUGUAGUUUUGAAAACCUGAGCAAUUUAGAAGUGAACAAGAUCGGAAGGCUGCAUUCCGGACAUGAGCAUCAGGCCUUUUUUCGACGAGGCGAAGUUGGCGAUUCCAUGAAUUAUCUCACGGCUGAGAUGGUGGAAAAAAUUGACAUGAUCACUGAGCAGAAGUUGCAUUGUCAUGGUUUAAAGUUCUAGUUCGUUCUGAAGGCCGCACCAUCUUCCUUUACUGUUUAUCAGCAUGCAUCUUUUGUUGUUAAGCCGAGGUCAACAUCUAGGCCAUUUAUCAUAUGUUGCACUAUUACUGUCUAUCAAAACUGUCAGCAAUAAUGGCAUGGGCAUUGUACGCUGCAGUACCGAUGAGGGAAGCGUGAGCACCGAGCAGAACAUGUCUUUAUCAAGGUAGCUUACACGUGAUAUUCUGGGGUGUUAAUAUAUUUGAUUUGUUGAUUGCUACGUCACCAAACUUAUUAAUGUAUCCCUAGGGAGGAUCCUAUCAUUGCUCCAUGCUUUGUAAUCUUGCGUGUUUAUAAUAAAGGAAAGGAAAGUUUACUCUUUA